rnacentral:rRNA from 1 species
GACGAACCGUGCGAACGUUGUUCGGAAUCACUGGGCUUAAAGGGCGCGUAGGCGGCCGAUCAAGUCGGGGGUGAAAGCCUGUGGCUCAACCACAGAAUUGCCUUCGAUACUGUUUGGCUUGAGACCGGAAGAGGUUAGUGGAACUGCGAGUGUAGAGGUGAAAUUCGUAGAUAUUCGCAAGAACACCAGUGGCGAAGGCGGCUGACUGGUCCGGUUCUGACGCUGAGGCGCGAAAGCGUGGGGAGCAAACAGG